UCUUCCUCAUGGAUGAGCGCAUAGGGUGAAAAAGGUAAGAGAGACAGUGCGCAUUAUUAGCCAAGCCCAAGUAAGUCCCCAACCCACCAUAGUCGGAGAAGGGAGCUUUGCUAGGUCUGUGUGUGAGAACCGCUCAUUCAAGAGAGAAAGGUUCGAUUUUGAGUUUACAAACGUGUUAGUCUCCAUUGAUUAGGUGAAACCCAGAAAUGGCUGCUCCACCAGCAAGGGCUAGAGCCGAUUACGAUUACCUCAUAAAGCUUCUUUUGAUCGGUGACAGCGGCCUGUAACAGCCAUACCAUUACAUAUGUUCCACAUUGUAACAGCCAUGCCAUUCUAUGGAUACAUCUACUAUGAAUCCUGAGCAGAGGGCAUAUUAUUCC